GAACACCCCAGUCAUUUUAUUACUCACCAGGUAUUAUCAUGAGCAAUAGUAGCAACCCAAUAAGAAGGACAGCAGCGCCCAGCGCUGCAAAUGAUGUUGGAUGUUUUCUCCGUUCAUGAUCGAGCAAGCGAGUAUGUUGCACCGGCUUAUGACGUUGCGUACUCGCUGACAGAGCUCCAUGAAUUGUUUGUCAAAAAUUUCAAGAGCAUACAUAAACUAUUCCACAUUAAUGAAUGCCAUCAACUACAGAGGGUAUCGCAUGCAGGUAAGCAUGGUGAACGAGGAGCACAGAUGAGAACGUAUGCGCAGUAGAACCCGAUCUCACCGGCAGCAAGGAUGAUGAGCGUUGCAGCGUAAACUGCUGCAAACGAAGUCGUGAAAUGAGACAUGGCUAAUAAAGAUGAACUGCUAAUCGGACAGCACGUAAGCGACUAUUUCGAGAAAUUCAGAAUUCUGAUAGAGAC
rnacentral:lncRNA from 1 species